CGAUCCGUAAGCCCGGAUCUUCAUCAGUGCUAAUAAUAUGAUUAGCACUAUAAAUAUAUAUAUAUGCACUAUACAUAUAUAUAUAUCAAUAUACUAUAUAUAUAUACUAAUAUAUAUAUGCAGUAUUUGCAUAUUAUUAGCACUGAUGAAGAUCCGGGCUUACGGAUCG
rnacentral:miRNA from 1 species